rnacentral:rRNA from 1 species
UACGUAGGGUGCGAGCGUUGUCCGGAAUUAUUGGGCGUAAAGGGCUCGUAGGCGGUGUGUCACGUCGGCCGUGAAAACCUGGGGCUUAACUCUGGGCGUGCGGUCGAUACGGGCAUCACUAGAGUUCGGCAGGGGAGACUGGAAUUCCUGGUGUAGCGGUGAAAUGCGCAGAUAUCAGGAGGAACACCGGUGGCGAAGGCGGGUCUCUGGGCCGAUACUGACGCUGAGGAGCGAAAGCAUGGGUAGCGAACAGG